rnacentral:rRNA from 1 species
AGUGAACGCUGGCGGCAGGCCUAACACAUGCAAGUCGAGCGGCAGCGGGUUCCCGCGGAGGGGAUGCCGGCGAGCGGCGGACGGGUGAGGAACACAUCGGAAUCUGCCUGGUUGUGGGGGAUAACGUAGGGAAACUUACGCUAAUACCGCAUGCGACCCUGAGUCGACGGACUGGGGGUGAAAGUGAGGGACCUUCGGGCCUCACGCGACCAGAUGAGCCGAUGUCGGUAUAGCUAGUUGGCGGGGUAACGGCCCGCCAAGGCGACGAUCCGUAGCUGGUCUGAGAGGAUGAUCAGCCACACUGGGACUGAGAC